GGUUGGUGGAUGUAACAGACUGGUUAGUGGAGGUUAGUGGAUGUAACAGACUGGUUAGUGGAGGUUGGUGGACGUAACAGACUGGUUGGUGGACGUAACAGACUGGUUAGUGGAGGUUGGUGGAUGUAACAGACUGGUUAGUGGAGGUUAGUGGAUGUAACAGACUGGUUAGUGGAGGUUGGUGGACGUAACAGACUGGUUGGUGGACGUAACAGACUGGUUAGUGGAGGUAACAGACUGGUUAGUGGAGGUUGGUG